UGAGGCCAAGUUCACAUUUCUGUGUGGAGC
rnacentral:piRNA from 1 species